GAUGAACGCUGGCGGCGUGCCUAAUACAUGCAAGUCGAGCGAACAGACGAGGAGCUUGCUCCUCUGACGUUAGCGGCGGACGGGUGAGUAACACGUGGAUAACCUACCUAUAAGACUGGGAUAACUUCGGGAAACCGGAGCAAAUACCGGAUAAUAUAUUGAACCGCAUGGUUCAAUAGUGAAAGACGGUUUUGCUGUCACUUAUAGAUGGAUCCGCGCCGCAUUAGCUAGUUGGUAAGGUAACGGCUUACCAAGGCAACGAUGCGUAGCCGACCUGAGAGGGUGAUCGGCCACACUGGAACUGAGACACGGUCCAGACUCCUACGGGAGGCAGCAGUAGGGAAUCUUCCGCAAAGGGCGAAAGCCUGACGGAGCAACGCCGCGUGAGUGAUGAAGGUCUUCGGAUCGUAAAACUCUGUUAUUAGGGAAGAACAAAUGUGUAAGUAACUAUGCACGUCUUGACGGUACCUAAUCAGAAAGCCACGGCUAACUACGUG
rnacentral:rRNA from 1 species